UAACUGGAGGACCGAACCGACUAAUGUUGAAAAAUUAGCGGAUGACCUGUGGCUGGGGGUGAAAGGCCAAUCAAACCGGGAGAUAGCUGGUUCUCCCCGAAAGCUAUUUAGGUAGCGCCUCGUGAAUUCAUCUCCGGGGGUAGAGCACUGUUUCGGCUAGGGGGCCAUCCCGGCUUACCAACCCGAUGCAAACUGCGAAUACCGGAGAAUGUUAUCACGGGAGACACACGGCGGGUGCUAACGUCCGUCGUGAAGAGGGAAACAACCCAGACCGCCAGCUAAGGUCCCAAAGUCAUGGUUAAGUGGGAAACGAUGUGGGAAGGCCCAGACAGCCAGGAUGUUGGCUUAGAAGCAGCCAUCAUUUAAAGAAAGCGUAAUAGCUCACUGGUCGAGUCGGCCUGCGCGGAAGAUGUAACGGGGCUAAACCAUGCACCGAAGCUGCGGCAGCGACACUGUGUGUUGUUGGGUAGGGGAGCGUUCUGUAAGCCUGUGAAGGUGUGUCGUGAGGCAUGCUGGAGGUAUCAGAAGUGCGAAUGCUGACAUAAGUAACGAUAAAGCGGGUGAAAAGCCCGCUCGCCGGAAGACCAAGGGUUCCUGUCCAACGUUAAUCGGGGCAGGGUGAGUCGACCCCUAAGGCGAGGCCGAAAGGCGUAGUCGAUGGGAAACGGGUUAAUAUUCCCGUACUUGGUGUUACUGCGAAGGGGGGACGGAGAAGGCUAUGUUGGCCGGGCGACGGUUGUC
rnacentral:rRNA from 1 species